rnacentral:lncRNA from 1 species
AAUAAAUUAGUUUUGGAUGUGGAAGACGCUUCUCACAAUCCAAAUUCCUCCUUAGUUCUAGUUUGAUUAGGAAACGUUCGCUAAUCAAACACUAAUCAACAAGUUGCCAAGGAACGUCCUUGGGGCAUUGUAGCAUCGAACAACUGUUGACUGCAUUAAGACUUAGAGAAACCCAAUUCUAUCCUUGCCAACCGCGUGGUCAAGUUUAGAUUAUGCAAUUUGAUUAAAUGUGUAUUUGAACAACCUAAGCAAUUACGGAACUAAAUCAUUCAAACACUAUUACUUAAGCAAUUUAAAAGCAAUGGGCCCUUAUUGAUUCUAAAAGCAAAGUAAUAUUUAUGGAAAGCUCAAAUUGCAUAAAUAUUGAAAAUAAAUAGAAGUUUAACAAUGGAGAUUUAAAUCUCCCAAUUCAUCACAAAAUUUGAAAUUCACCAACUUCAACUAUAAAAGAAAGUGUUUAGCCACUCAUGGUGGACUAAAUACACAAAAAGAUGAAAAGAAAAGAAAAAGGAAGAUGCUGGAGAGUUUCUGGCGAGUUGAGUUGCUGAUCAGAGGAUGAUUUUCUGGUUUGGAAGUCCUCCUUUUAUAGCUGAAGAAUUCUCUCAUCUAGGGUUUUGAAAUCCCCUUUUUGAUUUGGUGUUGGACUCCUCUUUUGAUGUUAAAUUUAAUUGCAAUUGGAUUUCCUUGGAUGAGAAGCUCUUUCGUGGCUCUUGGAUUUGUGUUGGAAGUGAUUGGAUUGGAUUUGGACUUCUGAAAAUUCGGAUUUCUGUUUGCUGCCAAUUUUCCCGCUCUGCUGCAAUUUUCUGCUGUCAAAGUGAUUUGCCCGGUGCUUUGACCAGUUUCUUCAAGUGAUUGGGCAAAUCACUGACCAGAUCGCUUCUCUGUGAGUCAGUCCUCUGUGUCUCUGCGAGUGAUUUGACCAGUGAUCUUCGAGUUUCUUGGGCAAAUCACUGCCCAUAUCACUGCUAUCUGUUGCCUCCGGGUUUCUGCCUUAGCUUGAUCAGAGCAGUGAUUGGAGCAGAUUUUUGGGCAAAUCACUAGGCAGAUCACCUUUUUGUAAAUUUUCUGCACUUUUUCUCCAAUUUUCCAAUUUCUUCCUUUUCUGUAAAAACAAGAUAAAAACCAUAAAUUAAACUAAAAAAUGUGUAAAUAAGCAAUAAUAAUUAUGAUAAAAAUGUGGCUAAAUUAUGCUUGAUCAG